CACAUGACUCUCGGCAACGGAUAUCUCGGCUCUCGCAUCGAUGAAGAACGUAGCGAAAUGCGAUACCUGGUGUGAAUUGCAGAAUCCCGCGAACCAUCGAGUCUUUGAACGCAAGUUGCGCCCGAGGCCUUUCGGCUGAGGGCACGCCUGCCUGGGCGUCACG
rnacentral:rRNA from 2 species